rnacentral:rRNA from 1 species
UACGAAGGGUGCGAGCGUUGUUCGGAAUUAUUGGGCGUAAAGCGCACGUAGGCGGCUGGGUAAGUCUGUCUGUGAAAGCCCGGGGCUCAACCCCGUGGAUUGCAGGGGAUACUGCCUGGCUGGAGACAAGCAGAGGUUGGUAGAAUUCCGGGUGUAGCGGUGGAAUGCGUAGAGAUCCGGAGGAAUACCAGAGGCGAAGGCGGCCAACUGGGCUUGUUCUGACGCUGAGGUGCGAAAGCGUGGGGAGCGAACAGGAUUAGAAACCCCUGUAGUCC